UACAGAGGUCUCAACCGUUGUUCGGAUUCAUUGGGCGUAAAGGGCGCGUAGGCGGCCUUCUAAGUCGAACGUGAAAUCCCCGGGCUCAACCCGGGAACUGCGUCCGAUACUGGGAGGCUUGAAUCCGGGAGAGGGAUGUGGAAUUCCAGGUGUAGCGGUGAAAUGCGUAGAUAUCUGGAGGAACAUCGGUGGCGAAGGCGGCAUCCUGGACCGGUAUUGACGCUGAGGCGCGAAAGCCAGGGGAGCAAACGGG
rnacentral:rRNA from 1 species